AGUGAACGCUGGCGGUAGGCCUAACACAUGCAAGUCGAACGGCAGCACAGUAAGAGCUUGCUCUUACGGGUGGCGAGUGGCGGACGGGUGAGGAAUACAUCGGAAUCUACUUUUUCGUGGGGGAUAACGUAGGGAAACUUACGCUAAUACUGCAUACGACCUACGGGUGAAAGCAGGGGAUCUUCGGACCUUGCGCGAUUGAAUGAGCCGAUGUCGGAUUAGCUAGUUGGCGGGGUAAAGGCCCACCAAGGCGACGAUUCGUAACUGGACUGAGAGGCUGGUCAGGCAUGCUGGAACUGACACCCGGUACAAAUUACUACGGGAGGCCGCAGUCGUGAAUAUUGGACAAUGGGCGCAAGCUCGCUCCAGCCAUACCGCAUGGGUGAAGAAGGCCUUCGGGUUGUAAAGCCCUUUUGUUGAGAAAGAAAAGCAGCAGGUUUAUACCCCGCUGUUCUGACGGUACCAAAAGAAUAAGCAACGGCUAACUACGUG
rnacentral:rRNA from 1 species